rnacentral:rRNA from 1 species
GACACUGGUGGUCAGGUAGAGAAUACCAAAGCGAUCGAGCGAAUCCUGGUCAAGGAACUCGGCAAAUCACUCCCGUUCCUUCGGUUUAAGGGAGACCCCCGAUGGUGAACACACUUGCUGUGGGAGCUUUUGGGGGUGGCACAGACCAGGGGGUAGCGACUGUUUACCAAAAACACAGGUGCAUGCGAAGGCGCAAGCCGCUGUAUAUGCACUGACGCCUGCCCGGUGCCGGAAGGUUAAGAGGAUCCGUCAGCCUUCGGGUGAAGCGGUGAAUUCAAGCCCCGGUAAACGGCGGUGGUAACUAUAACCAUCCUAAGGUAGCGAAAUUCCUUGUCGGGUAAGUUCCGACCUGCACGAAUGGCGUAACGACUUCCCCGCUGUCUCGACCAGGAGCUCGGCGAAAUUGCAGUACGAGUAAAGAUGCUCGUUAAGCGCAGAAGGACGAAAAGACCCCGGGACCUUUACUAUACCUUGGUAUUGGCAUUCGGUGUGGAUUGUGUAGCAUAGGCGGGAGGCCGAGAGGCGCGGUCGCCAGAUCGCGCGGAGCCGUAAGGUGAAAUACCGCUCUGUUCGCAUUGGAUGUCUAACCUCGAACAGUCAUCCUGUUCAGGGACAGUGCCUGGCGGGUAGUUUAACUGGGGCGGUUGCCUCCCAAAGAGUAACGGAGGCGCCCAAAGGUCCGCUCAGCCCGGUUGGCAAUCGGGUGGCGAGUGCAAGUGCACAAGCGGGCUUGACUGCGAGGACGACGGUCCGAGCAGGGACGAAAGUCGGGACUAGUGAUCCGGUGCCGGUGUACGGACGCGGCAUCGCUCAACGGAUAAAAGGUACCCCGGGGAUAACAGGCUGAUCAUUCCCAAGAGUCCAUAUCGACGGGAUGGUUUGGCACCUCGAUGUCGGCU